GAAUCUGAUGCAGCGACGCCGCGUGAGGGAUGUAGGCCUUCGGGUUGUGAACCUCUUUCGCUCAUGGUCAAGCCGCAGUUUUGGGUUGUGGUGAGGGUAGUGGGUAAAGAAGCGCCGGCUAACUACGUGCCAGCAGCCGCGGUAAUACGUAGGGCGCGAGCGUUGUCCGGAAUUAUUGGGCGUAAAGGCUUGUAGGCGGUUUGUCGCGUCUGCCGUGAAAUCCUCUGGCUUAACUGGGGGCCGUGCGGUGGGUACGGAUGGGCUUGAGUGCGGUAGGGGAGACUGGAAUUCCUGGUGUAGCCGGUGGAAUGCGCAGAUAUCAGGAGGAACACCGGUGGCGAAGGCGGGUCUCUGGGCCGUUACUGACGC
rnacentral:rRNA from 1 species